rnacentral:rRNA from 1 species
CAAUAGCGUAUAUUUAAGUUGUUGCAGUUAAAAAGCUCGUAGUUGGAUUUCUGCUGAUCGCUGUCGGUCUGCCGUCAGGUGUGUACUGGCAGUGUUUGGCAUCUAUUCGAGAUUGGGUGUCCACUUGAUUGUGUGCACUCGAUGUCGGAGCUAAUACUUUGAGAAAAUUAGAGUGUUCCACGCAGGCGCGUGCCUUGAAUACUGCAGCAUGGGAUAUUGGAGGGCCGAUUGAGCUUUCUUGUUGGUUCUCGGUUUGAUCGGAAUGAUUAAUAGGGAUAGUUGGGGGCAUUCGUAUUCAACUGUCAGAGGUGAAAUUCUUGGAUUUGUUGAAGACGGACUACUGCGAAAGCAUCUGCCAUGGAUGUUCUCAUUGA